AAGCAGUAAUCAUAGUUUCGUAUAGCACGUAACAAGUAAUUUAUCGCAGCAGAAUUAUAAUGGCGAAUAAGUGUGCAGAAAUUAACGAAUUGAGUGACAAAAUUAUUGAAAAAAUAGAUAAAGUUAGUAAGCUAGUCCAGAUUGAGAAUGAUUUUUCGUUGCAUCAUCACUUCUUCGGCUACACCUAAAGGACACUUCUGUCGACGACAUGUGUCUUCUUCAGAUCUGCAUGACCUCUACAGCACAGCUCAAGAACAAGUACCAUCCACUUCUUCAGAUGUGGAUAGCAUGUGUCAUCAACUUCUUCAGAUGUGGAUGGCAUAUGUCUCAGAAACGUGGUAAGAUAACUACUUGUUAGGUCGGAUGAUUAUAAGAUUAUCAUCAGUAAAUGGCUUAUAGGGGAAGUUCACAUAAAUCAUAGGAUUCCUUGUAUAUUUCACAAUAUGUGAGGCUACGACGAGCAUUUUAUAAUAAAAAAUUAGCUACAGAAAUACCUGGUCAAGUAACAUUACUACCAGUCAAUAAAGAAAAAUCUAUAUCUUUUACAAAAUAUAUUCUAAAUACUACUCUUUCUUUUUGGUUUCUAGAUUCUUUUAUAUUAGUAAUAUCCUUCUCUUUUUUUACUUCUUUGAUAUGUAUUUUUCGACUUUAAACCAACAAACAAUAAAAAAAUUCUUAAUUCACUUAUUUGUUUGUUCUUUAAUAAACAACAACUAGCAGCAUAAAAACUGUCAACAAUUAUGAAGCUUUUAAUGGAUGAUUGUAUAACACAUUAUGAAAGCCAUUCAUAUGAACCCUAUCUACCAACAAAAUUGGGUAAUAUAACUAUGAAAUAUUUAUUCCUGUUAAUAAAGUUGAAAAGUAUACUUUACCUGGAGAAAGUUCACUCUAUAUAGAAGGAAAACUAACUAAAAUAGAUGGUACCAUUUCAAAAAAAGCAUCAUUUAUAAAUGCUUUUUUUGAAAAGCACGGGGUGGCAUUUUUUUUUAAGGAAAUGAGAUACCAGUUAAAUGGUGUAACAAUUGAUUCCGUGCAAGAUGUAGGUAUUACAUCAACAUUAAAAGGGUAUUAAUCAUAUAAUAAUGAGUUGAAGAAAAUGCAAAACGCUGGUUGGUAUCCCGCCAGCACUAAUAAUUCUACAAAAUCAAUAGUUGUUAAUGCAAUAACCGCUUUUUUUUAAUCUACUCAAUAAACAAUUUCAAAACAAGAAUUAAUUUUAGCACGAAAAAAUACUGAUAAUAAUGCUGUUAUAUACAACUACAGAAGCGAAUGAAACUCUAAAGAUCACUCUUAAUAAAAUAUCAUGGAUGGUACCACACAUUUCUGAAGGUAUGUCACAAGAAUUUCUUUUUAGUAUAACUUAUUGAUAAAAACAUAGACAUUGAAAUUGGUUUUAGAUUUGGUAAACUGAUAAGGUUUGUGCAGAUAUGAGUCAAUUUAAUGAUAUUAAUUUAAGAUCCAUAGGAGUGUUUUUAAACUCGGAAAGAUUUCCCUACAUACACUUUAAUUUAGAUAUAGGCCAAAAUAAAUUUGCAAAAGUGUUUUUUUUGCAAAUUUUUACACUAAAUAGAAAAAUAUGGAUUUUCUUAUAUUAUGUUCAGGGUUUUAAAUUGGAAAACCAAAAAUUUAUUUCCAAAGAAAGGCUGACUAGGAUUUGUAUUCGUUUUAAUUUAAUUUAUGUAUAUUAUAUAAUAUAGUUAAAUAGAAAGAACAGUGAAAGAAACACGCGCAUAUCAUUUCCUUUUAUUCCAUAUUAACAUGAUGUCCCUGUUUUCAAUACUUAGUUCUUGUUGCGUGCUUAGUGUUAUGUAAUCUGCAUCUUUUCUAAUUCCUAUAUUUGUUAUAUUUUCUAGCGCACUCAGUGAGUCUGUUAUUAUAAGUAACUAGGUUUCCUGUGGGGAGAAAAGUCUUAUUGCUUCUCUGAUGACUAUAGUUUUCUUUGCAUAUUUUGCCGCAGUAUAUGCAAAUUCCAUAGGCAUAGUUAUUUGGGUUCGCAGAUGCGUCAGUGUAUAUUCUUGUACAUUCUGGAUAAUUUUUGUUUAAAAUUUGCAUGAAUUCUUUUUCGUUUUGGCCCUCUUUGCUUAGGUUGGUCUUUAGGUAUUCUUACCUUUUUGUUUGUGUAUGGUAGGGGAACUUGUGACAUGGUAGUUUGGAGUCCCUAUAGAUGUAAUUGUAAUAUUGCAGUAUUUGGUCCGCCCCUUGUAUUAUGGCUGGUGUUGGAAAAGUUUUAAGGUUAUGUUUACAUCUGUUUGUUUACCUGUUCAAUUUGGUGCAAAAGUAAAGUGUUACCUUGGACUUUAAAACCCAAGUAAGUCUGGAUUGCCUUUCUCGGUUAUUCUUCUUGGUACACACACCAAAGUUCUCUGAAAACUCAUUCUAAUUAACCUCAUAACACAAAAUAAACAGCAGUUUCUUCAUCACAUUUUUCCCGCCAAAUUCCGGAUGACAGACCGAACUGACACAUUUGACGGCUAGGACAGAUGUCUGGGAGUGGUAGAGUUCUGUUCUUCUUCUUCUUCUUCUUCUUCUUCUUCUCCCUUGGCCUGGCUUAUAUCAUAACACACUAACCAACAUAAUCUGUUUGCACACCAUACAGCUUCUAGAAAUAUGGCGAAGUGUUGCAAAUGUGAACGACUGUGAUGGCUGUAGGCAACAAUUUUAUUAUGAAUGUUCAGAUCUGACUAGUUCGGAGAUCAGAGUUAUAGAAUUGAAGAAUAAACGUAGUUUAAAAUAUUUUUGUACUCUCUACCUUAAGGGUUUAAAGCUCAUCCCGGUUCUUCAGAGGCAUAUUGAAUCUUUGGAGGGAAAACUUAGCUCAUUAGAAGCCAACAUGACCACCCAAUUUAGUGAGGUUAUUGAUAAAGUGAGUGAUCUGCACAAUAACCAACAGCAAGUCAAUAAUAUAACACCUAGUACUACUCAAUCCCAGGUCAACGACAGCAAUGAUUUAAUGCAAGAGGUCGCGGAUCGACAGAGGAGAAUGAAUAAUAUCAUGCUGUUUAAUAUGGAAAUCUUACCACAGACUUCAGAAAUUACCCAAAUAUCUAAUCUUCUAAACUCAGUUACUGGCAAGCAAGUGCAUGUCUCAGAAGUGAUUAAGUUGGGCAGACCAAAUAGUAAAGGUCGUAAAUGUCUCAAGAUAGUUCUAUCAAACAAUUCUGAUGUAACCAAUGUACUAAAGAACCGCAGGAGGUUUAGCUCUGCUAAGGCGGUUUAUGUUGAGGCUGAUCUCACUCCUAGUCAGAGGAGUGAUCUGCAAAAGGUCAAGGACGUACUUGAGCAUCGGCGAUCCAAUGUAGAAACAAAUCUGCACAUCAAGUUUGACAAUGGCAGGCCUGUCAUCGCCACAAAAACUAAAUCCUUCCAGCACUUCACACCACCUACGUCUUUAUUAUUAAAUUGUACGUGGCCUCCGCACCAAGACUGAUGAUAAGCUUUAUACAGGGAUCUCCGUGUGCGACUUUGACAUCAUUGCCUUCACCGAAACGUGGCUUCAACCAGAUAUUCUCAACUCUGAAUUGUGUCCAGAAACAUUUAGAGUGCUCAGAUCUGACAGACAGCUGGAUAGAGUGGCCGCUACUCGUAGUGGUGGCUGCUUGGAUGCAGCUUCUCACAACAUCCACCUAGAGAGGGUUAACUUGGAAGACAUCUUUAACUCCACACCACUUAUAGAUAUUUUAGGUUGUAAGCUCACAUGGUUAUUUUGUAUUUUAUUAAUUUGUAAUCUAUGUCCCUCCUUGCACAACCAGAGAGACUUUAAGACCUUGUGUGAAACAAUAAUGUCACUGGAUCUGGUCCACACAAAACGCGUUAUGAUUGUUGGAGAUUUUAAUGUUCCGUCUUAUCAGACAACCGAAGCUAGCAGUAUCAAGUGCAAGCUUUUGACCAACCUAUGCGAGAUCCUUAGUCUUAAGCAGUUUACAAUAUUUCAAAUGUUAAUAACAGGCUUCUUGACUUGGUUUUUUUAAAUUUCGACGUCAGUGUCAUCAAAAGUAUAUCACCACUUAUUGACGAAGAUUUGCAUCAUCCUGCUUUGACAAUUUCUUUUAAAUCGGCUUCCCCUCAUAAAUAUAAUCCUUCUAUAAGUUCAAAUAAUUUACAGCAGUUUAACUUCAGAAAAGCAGACUUUCCACACAUGUAUAAUUUGUUGCUUGAUGCAGACUGGUUGUCUGUCUUGCAGUCUUCUGACGUUGACAGCGCUUGCAAGGAACUUUACAAAAAGACUUGAUUCAGCUUUUGCUGCUUCAGCACCUUUAAAACAACGAAGACGACGGCGAUUUCCAUUAUGGUUUUCAAAACAAAUUAUUUCUAAUAUCUUUAGGAAGGAAAAAGCAUAUCGUGAUUAAAGAUCCUCUCCAACUGAAUUUAAUUUUUCCAGAUACAGCAGGCUUCGUCAGACAGUAAAAUCUCAAGCUUGUGAGGCCUAUAACUCAUUUGUGACUAAAGCCGAGGAGAACAUUGUCACUGAUCCCUCAUCGUUUUGGUCUUUUGUUAGAGCUAAGAAAGGUCACUCUUCACUUCCGUCUAUCAUGUGCGAUGCGAAUGGUAAUUCUUUUCAAGGCACAAAAAAUAUUGUGCCAGCUUUUGCCAAACUUUUUCAAAAUGUCUAUAAAGAUCCAAUCAACCUCGCAGAAACCUAUCCUCCUUCUAAUUCCUUAGACCUCAUUGACAUUCUUCCAUCAAUUACCACUGAGGAAAUUAUUGCUGCUAGUCGGAGGCUAAAAAAUAAGUUGACAGCCGGUCCAGAUGGUGUUCCAAGUUUUGUGGCUAAAGAAUGCAUGUUUGUCCUUUGUCAGCCUUUAUGUCAUAUUUUUAACCUUAUUUGGAAAACUAGCAAAUUUCCAGGUGUCUGAAAAUGUGCUAAAGUAAUACCAAUUCACAAAAAAGGCGAUAUAAACAGAAUCGACAACUACCGACCUAUCUCCAUACUUUGAAAUUUUUCCAAAACGUUUGAAACUAUUUUACUAAUUUCGUUGCUUUCGUCAUACCUUAUUGACCGUCUACAGUUUGUUGAGGUUGAAGGUUGCAGAUCUAAUACCUUUGUUUCAACUUCUGGAGUCCCACAGGGAUCCAAUCUCGGUCCACUUCUUUUUAUCUUUUAUAUUAAUGAUCUUAUAGAAUUGAUUUCCUACUUUAGACUAGCUUAUGCUGAUGAUCUGAAAAUAUUCUGGUGUAUCAAUAGUAUCUUGGACUGCUUGUUCUUACAGAGUAACUACAAUAUAGACAAUCAAAUCCUCUAAAGAAGUACUUCUAUUAAAGAUCUAGGGGUUGUAUUCGACGAUAGGCUCACAUUUGUGCCACAUAUUGAACAGACAGUGACCUCCUCGUUGAAACUUCUGGGUUUUGUCAUUUGAAAUAGCCGACUCUUUAACAACUCAAACUCAAUAAAACUAUUGUACUUUUCCUUUGUUAGAUCAAGACUGGAAUACGGUUCCAUGGUGUGGUGUCCUUUCUAUGAAUGCCAUGUUGGCUACAUUGAGAGUGUUCAGAGAAGGGUUUUAAAGUUUCUUAUGUUUCGUGAGGAUGGAAUAUAUCCUGUUAGGGGACAUGAUCAUGAUCUGAUGAUUUAAGGUAGUGACAUGGUGAUAGGGUAUAUGACAUGAGGUAGAUUUAAUCUGCAAUCUCUGGCCAUGAGGAGAACAAUUCAUUUUGUAACAUUCUUAUGGAAGUUGGUCAAUAAUCAAAUAAAUUCUCCUCCUCUCUUGAACAAUAUUCUAUUUCAUGUACCACGAUUUGCUUCUAGAGCAAAUAUCACUUUUGCUUUAGAUCGCGCCAGAACUAACAUUAGGUUUCAGGAUCCCGUAUAUCAAAUGUGCAGAUUUUUUAAUUCAGUAUCAUCAGAGUAUGUUGGGGAGCAGACCCAAAAAUACUGCUAACAGUAUAAAAGGCAAUUGACAGAAGUCACUUCGAAUAUGGAACAAUUUGCAUAUAUAAGACAUCAAAGGCAAACUGGAACAAAAUAGACAAAACGCAGUAUCAAGCACUAAGAACGGCCUUAGGAUGCCGAAGGGCACUUCUAUCAGAGGCAGCUGAAACUCCUACGGAACUCAGAACAUGCCUAGCAGCAACAUUUGCAGGGAAAUUCAUGUCAAAAUCACGAUUUGGACUCAAGUAUUAUCUUUCUAUCAAAUGAUAAAUGAGGGACACAAUUUAUUUAUUUAGCAGUUUAUUUCCAACAGGCAAAGCCCAGUUACAGGAAAAUCUACAAUUAAUGUUUUGAAAGUGUAAACAAGAAUUAAAUUACUAUAAAUUAAAUAACAAAAAGAAAGAAAAAUAAAGAAAUAAGGAAAACUUAAAUUACUAUAGUAACAUCAUGUAUAUAUCAAAAUUAAAGGAGAUGUAAAUUAACAUUAGAAUAAACAAAGAAAGGGAUUCAUGGGACAAGGGAAAAAAGGAAGAAAAAAAAAGAAUUAUGGUAACUGUUGGUUUGUCAGAGACAAAACUAGAUCCUUUAUGGAGCAUACAAAUAUGAUCAACAACUACCACCUAUUGAACAAUUUUACAUUAAAAUUUAAAAAAAGGGUAUUUCGUAAAAUGAUUCUACACAUGCUACUAAUGUUUGGAAUAAAUUAAAAAUUUUCGUCAAUACAUGAAAAUUUAUUUAAAAACUGUAUGUAUUAUUAUUAGCUGAUGUAUUCGAGAAUUUCAGAAAAGUCUGUUUUAGCUUUUAAAACUUAUGGUUUAGAAUGCUUAAGGCCAUAUACUGCACCUGUAUUAGCAUGUGAUGCAUGCCUUUUAAUCCCUCAGGUUUCUUUAGAAUUAUUUACAGAUAUAGACAAAUUAAUGAUGAUAGAAAGGGGAAAUUUCACAGUGCAACACACCUGAUGAUUCUGAUUCUGAUAUAGAAUAUAUUCUUGCAGUAGAUUUAGAUUAUUCUUAAAAUGUACAUAAUCUUCAUAAAGAUUUAUGGACAGAAGGCAGUUCCACCUCUUCCAGUAACCACCAAGCAACCGAAGUUACUAACAAUCGUUUAUAGUAAAAGAAACUAUAUUAUACAAUACAGAUAUUUAAAACAGGCAAUGCAAUUGAGUAUAAAAUUAGUAAAAAUUCAUAAGGUAUUAGCUUUAAGACAAUCUCCUUGGUUAAAAUCACCCAUAAUACUGAAUUGAAGAAAUUAAGCAAGAAUGAUUUUGAAAAAAACUUUUUUAUAUUAAUAAUGCGGUAUUUGGAAAGACUAUGGAAAAUAUUAGAAAACAAAAAGUUGUAAAAUUAGUAAUAUCAAGGGAUGGUAGGUUUGGAGCAACAAAUUUAAUUUCAAAACCAAACUUUUAUAGUUUGACAAUUUUCGAUGAAAACUUGGUAAUUAUAGAAUUGUCUCGUGUAAAUAUUAAAUUUAAUAAGCCCAUUUAUAUAGGUUUUAUUAUUAUAGAAAUUUCUAAAACGAUUUUAUAUGAUUUUCAUUAUAAUUAUAUAAAAUCAAAAUGUAAUGAUGCUGCAAAAUUACUGUAUACCAACACUGAUUCCCUAACUCAUUUUUAAGUGGAUGAUAUGUUUAAACAUAUAAAAGAAGAUAUUCACAAAUUUGACACUUCUGAGUAUACUCUAAAUAAUGUUUAUGAUACACCAUUGGCUGGUAACAAAAUAUUAGGGGUAAUGAAAGAUGAGAUUAACGAUAAGUGAAUUUGUUGGUUUAAAGUCGAAAAUGAACGCUUUUAAAAUACAUAACAGGGAACUAAAAAAAUAUGUUAGGUAUUACUAAAGCUUUAUUAAAUACUAUCACUUUCGAACAUUAUUUUAACUGCUUGUUUGGUCACAAUCAAAUAUAUGCAAAGGAAUAUCUAAUUCGAUCUAAAAAACAUGAACUGUUUACAAUAAGCCAAAGGAAGAUUGCGCUUUCACAUAAUGACGACAAAAGAAAUAUAAAUUUUGCAUCGACCGAUACGUUACUUUGGGGAUAUAUAAUUUAAUUGUAUGAAUUUAAAAAUAUUUCUGUUUAAAUGUUUUUGAAACACUUAUAUGUCACAAUCUCAUUCGAUUUGUAAAAAUGGUGCCUCAUGCACAUGUUCCCACAAAGGGAAGUUUAUUGACUGCUGUAUAUGAUCUAAAAAGCUCAAACAAUGCUAUUGUUCCAAAAAGAGAACAUGUAAAAGUACGUACAGGCCUGAGGUUUCAGCUUCCUAAAGGAUCAUAUGGAAGAAAAACUCCAUGAUCUGGAUUGACUUUUACAUCAUGGCAUUGAUGUUGAUGUUGGUGUUAUAGAUCAAGACUAUACUGGUGAAAUUCUCUUGAACCAUUUCGAUAGGGAUUUUUACAUUAAAGCUGCUGGCCGUGACCGAAUAGCCCAACUAAUAUGUGAGAGAAUGUAUUUUCCAGGACACGAAGUGACAACCUUGGAAAAACUAAACGACCACAUAAUUUCGGUUUCGGAUCAUCUGGAGUAGUAUAAUUUAUUUUUUUACAUCAUACAAAUAAAUUAUAUAUGUAAUUAUUUACAAUACUAUUAUAAAAUAACUGUUUGUAAACUAA
rnacentral:misc_RNA from 1 species